AAUUAAGGGGCUGAGGGUCAGGAAGGGAACCUGGGGUCAGCACACGUGGGGUUCUGGGUGGGGCGCUGGGCAGAGGGACUCGGCUUCUAGGGCUCUGAGCCAGGCCGAGGGACAGACUGCUGGGAAGUCCCCAAAAGGGCAGCAGCGCAGAGGGGCAGGAUUCCAGGGUCCUGGAGGUGGAAGCUCGGCCGACUGACUCCUAGUUCGAGGGAACGGGGCGGGGGCAGCCGACCAGUGCUGGAACCCGAGGGGCCGGGCUGGACUGGGAGCAGGACCCUUCUCGUCUCGGACAAGACUCCUUGUUUGGGGACCCAGCCCGACUUCAUUGUAGCUGGGUCCUCGAGAAAGCGAAAGGAGCCCUCCUUCCCCAUUGGCCUCUCCAUCGCUGCAUGCCAAGAAGAAAGACAACUCGGGCUCCACUUGCUUGCUUUUUAAUAAUAGAGCAGAGAGAAUACAAGGCCAGGAGCGGGGCCUGGAGGAAAACAGGACUUGGGGUGCUCCUGUGAGAGCGACGCUGCCAGCUCCAUCCCCCAGGGAUUGUG
rnacentral:antisense_RNA from 1 species